rnacentral:sRNA from 1 species
UUUUUCUUAGUAUUUUAAUGGUCAAAAUGUGUCACAAUCUAAUGCAUUUGACUAAAUAUAAGAGUUAAAGAUGGAUUAGAAGUGUUUAGACAACCCUUAUACCCAUUUACUCCCAAAAGAGGCUUAAACGAACAAAAAAA